rnacentral:lncRNA from 1 species
AAAAUCUCCUAAGUUUUUUGUUCUUGCUUUAUGACUCAUGAUGAUGUAUUAUUGUAUUAAGCGUACUAGCCAGUGUAAAAUUUAGAAUAUUUUUAGCAACGGAAAUUAAUAUAAAGUGAAUCUGUUGUACCAAAUAGUGGUGGGAUAUACAUACACACUCAUGUGAUUGGAGAAUAGAAGACAAGGCAGGUACAUUGUGUUGCAUCUGAUAAUUCUUUCCAUAUGAAAGAAAAAAUAGGGUAUAAAAUUUCCUUUUCUUUACAGAACAAGGGCUGGGGUAUGAAAAAGCUAGCACCAUGGGUUUGGUGAUAAUUCUCUCACUAAAAAGAGAGAGAGAGAGUUAUAAUUAGCUAGACAGCAAUCUCUAUCUCUAUCCCUAUAUCUUUAUAUAUAUAUAUAUCAACAUUCUCUCUCUAUAAGAAAUUGGAUUUUUCUUCAACGUUUCAACGCCAUCACCCAACAGCAAUCAUCAUGCCUUCGUCCUCCUUCCCUCUGACUUACCACCAUCAUCAUCAUCAUUACCCCCUCACCACCACCUCCACCACUCAAUACCUUUCAACCCUUUUCAGUAUUCACAUCCCAAAACCAAAACGACAACAACAAAACCCACAAAUACAAGCACAAGAAGAGCAAGAACAAGGGAAAAAGAAAAAGAAGAAGAAGAGGAAAAAAAAAAAAAAAAACAAGAGGUUUUGUUUGUAUGUUUAAUUAUGAACAACAACAAACCCUAGCUAACUUUCAAACUUAAUGAGUGAAAGGGUCUUUUUGGUGUAAAGGAUCCAACAACUCCUCUGGGGAAUCAAGCGUCUCGGUCCGAUUUAUUUGCUAGAUCAUCAUCAAGCAAAUCAUACGAGUUGAUCAGUUACAAGUUUUGUGAUCUACAACAUAUGUGUGUGUUUCUUCCUUAGCUAGUACUUGCUGCCUAGGUAAUUAAUAUUUUUGUGUGGUGCUUAGAUCAUUUACUUUAAGACGAAAUUUUUAAUAUUACUAUUGUAUGUGGAAAUGGGUAUUUGUGACUCAAGUAAAUCAUUUUUAUUUUUAAUUAUCUCUUUCUGAUCUCAUUCAAUUUUUCUUUGCAUCAUAUAUGUAUAUAUAUAUUUGGGUUGUGUCGGAUUUUCGUUUGUAUACACGCUGUUGUUACAGGCACAGCUAGCGAUGAUGUUUGAGGUUUCAUAAAUAUAUAUCUGUAUUUAUUUAUGGCAUAUUAUGUUAUAAUGAAUGCUUUUUCUUUUUUCUGUUAUAUAUUCUUCAAGACACAAAACCAUCAUGAAUCAUAUAUAUAUACGGUGCAGUGCAAGAGCUUCCAUUUAAUUUAUACAGCUGAUUUGAUUAUAUAUAUGAGCAACUUUAUAAUUUACCUCGCUGCCCGCUGCAAGCUGCAAGCUGAUGAUCAUGAUGAGGUACAUUCAUUAAACUAGGGUUUGUUCUUUUUACGGCUUUUAAGUCAUUGUUUCGUUGUCUUCUAAAGAUUUAUUAGUAUAAUAAUUGAGAACUCACAUAAGAGAUUAUUUAGAUCUUUCGAACUUGUUUAAUUGUAUAAAUGUUCAAUAGAGAAGGAUUCCACUGUAAUUCUGAAAAUAUAUACGUGUUGAUGAUGGCUUGCAUGUACCCAUUCCAUUUGAUGCAAUCUUUUGAGGAUUGUGUUCUGGUCUGGCGAAAGAAAGUAAGUCGAAAUAUUAGAUCCAGAAAUAUUAUUUGGCAGUGGCUAUGGUAGUUUUACUUUACCGUAGAGUACUAAUGAUGACCAUCAGAUCAUAGAAGUGUAGAUUUAAUAUUUAUUUUUAUGAUCGUGUGAUCAUUAUCAUGCUCUGUCAUGGAGCACUGGAGCUGUUUCCCAUAAUAUUUUCACUAAUAAUAUGAAAUUGAAUGAAUAAAAUAAUUCUCCUUUUUUAAUUUCUUUUAAUUUGAAUCCAGUACUCUAUAGUUUGAAUUUUGAAUUGAUGAAAAUUCAAAGUUGAGUAUCCUUUAUUCUUUUAACUCAUUUGGAAAAUGAAUUUCUUGAGUAUCAAUUCUAUGAGUAUUUCCUUUCGUUUCACACAUGUUAGUGGGAGGAAAAUUUAGAAGGCUCCGCAUGCUUCAACAGACAACAAUACAUAAGCUAGUCAAAUUCGGGAUUUUCAAGUACUGGGCGUUUCACGCUUUAUGUCCCCAAAGUCCAUCUGAUAGAAUCUGCCAGCUAAUUAAGGCUAUAGCCUGUUAAUUGCAUCAUAGAUUUUCUCCGAAACCGAGUCUAUAAUAGACGUUGCCUUUUUAAACCACACCUUACAGCCUGUGCAUCAUUACCUGGUCAAAAAUUCAAUAGAAGUCGAUAAAAUCUCAUUAUAUGUUGGACGGUGUUCAAUUUGUGAUUAGGUUGUUUAAGUCACAAACUCAGAUGAUUACAUAUUUUACAACAUGAGAUCUAGUAUAAAUUUAGAUGCAUAUUUAAGUCUAGAAUUUACUCUCUUGAAAAUUUACUCUCACUAACGUCAAUCGAAGAAAAUCUAUCCAUAUUUCAUAGUAUGUGGAAGGGUAAAAUUACCCUAUACUGGUUGGAAUUGUUAAAUGCCUUCACUAGAGAAUGUCCGCACUAUCCACAUACUAUGAAACAUGAGAUCUAGUAUAAAUCUAGAUACAUAUUUAAGUUUAGAAUUUAUUAUCUUGAAAAUUUACUCUCACUAACAUCAAUUGAAGAAAAUCUAUCCAUAUUUUAUAGUAUGUGGAAGGAUAAAAAUGCCCCAUGUUGGUGGGAUUUAUUAAAUGCCUUCACUAGAGAAUAAUUAUAUAUGUAGGUCAUUUCUCUAUCUGCCGCACGAAAUUGAAAUGUGAAAUUUACUUUGAUUGUUGUUGAUCUGAUGUAUCUAAGGUUAAUUUAGCAUUAAGAGAGAGGGGAAAAAGAGUAAAGAAUGGGAAAGUAUGCGUGUCCAAUUUAAAUACUUGGUAAUCUUAGGGGGAUUUAGGCCCCAUUUGGGAUUGCUUUUGGGAGGGUUAAAAGUGAUUUUAAAAAUCUAAAAGUUAAUUUUGGUGUUUGGUAAAAAAAAAUUAAAAUCACUUUUGCCAAAAUCAGUUCCUCAUAUAACUGAUUUUGAAAAGCAGGGAAUGAAUAACUUUUAGAUUCUAAUUUUGAGAAUCAAUUUUAUCCUUUAAUAUAAUUCCAUAAACAUCCUUACAAUUAUUACUUAAAUCCAAAAUUAUCCUUAUUUAAAUUGGAAAUAAAUUUUAAAUAUCAAUUGUUUUAAGAUUUAAAAAAAUCACUAUAGCAUAAAUUUUAUUUUUAGUUAAAAUUAUUAUAAUACACAAUUAAAGAUAAUAGCAAUUAUUUUAAAAUUAGUUAAAAUUAUUUUGAAUUAUUCACUCUGAAUCAACAAAACAUAUUUCUUAUAACUAUUUAGGUAGCUUCUUUUUUAAAGUAUGAUACAACGAAGUAGAUACAUUGAAUUAGAUAAUGUGGGAACCAAGCACGUUUUGCAGGUUCUCAAUAAAAUAAUAGACUUUCUUGACCAAAGAAUUAUACUUCAGAGAUAUUAUAAAGAGUUAAGAACCGGGGAGCUGAGGCAGCGUGUCAUAAGGAAAAUUCCUUCAACUAUCAAGACGCUUCGUUUUCUCCAUAAGAAUAGUUUGUGUAACUAAAGAUACAGGGCACAAAGCUAUAGAAAGUGCUACGUUUAUGCUGCUUGACAAGAAGUUAAUAUGCCAAUUCCACAUUUUUAUAAAAAAAAAAAUUAUUUGAUUCAACGAGAUAUUGUACGUGUACAUUUUUAUAUGUAUAAGUAAAUUUCAUUCUACAUUAUGUACAUUUUAGUCAUUUAUUUUCUAACACGAGUUUAACAAUAAGAUUUACCAAACACCCAUAACUGCUUUCAAAAUUUACAGUGCUUUUGAAAAUAAAAUUUACCAAACACUUAACUGAUUCUCUUCACAGCUGAUUAUUUCUACAGCACAGCUAACAACAAUUAUUUUAAAAGCUGCAGCAUUACCAAACUGGCCCUUAGUAUGAAGCACACUUCAAAAAUUCUUGAGAGCGAAUUCUAUCUAUUUAUUGACAUUCAUCCUGCGGGGAUAUAUAUAUCCAUCAUCGCAAAAUUUUAUGUUGGUUUCACAUAUACCAUGCCCAAUUGCCUUGAACAUUUUACGUUACAAUGAAGCUUGAAUUUUAUUAUGAAUCAUCAAAAAUAUUCCUAAAUAAUUUUUAUGAUAAAACAUAAUAAACACUGUGUAGUCAAAUCAAUGCAUUUAUCCACUGAGUCUAUAUGGUUUUCAUACCACCAUCAAAGAGUAAUGCCAUACAACUUCCAAGGGCUAUGUUAACCUUUAUAAUUUCAAAUGAAGUGAUAUUCAUGCAAUAAAUGUUGAGAUGGAGCAAUAAAUAAAUUUAUAAUAUGUGAUAUUGAUUAUUUUGAUAAAUGAAUGCGAUAUUAGGAUUUGGGAUGAUAAUAUUUAAAUACUACACUUAACGUUAAUUAGAGCCUCAGAGGUGUUGUAG